UACGUAGGGCGCAAGCGUUGUCCGGAAUUAUUGGGCGUAAAGAGCUCGUAGGCGGUCUGUCGCGUCGGAUGUGAAAGCCCGGGGCUUAACCCCGGGUCUGCAUUCGAUACGGGCAGGCUCGAGUUCGGUAGGGGAGACUGGAAUUCCUGGUGUAGCGGUGAAAUGCGCAGAUAUCAGGAGGAACACCGGUGGCGAAGGCGGGUCUCUGGGCCGAUACUGACGCUGAGGAGCGAAAGCGUGGGGAGCGAACAGG
rnacentral:rRNA from 1 species